rnacentral:rRNA from 1 species
AGAGUUUGAUCCUGGCUCAGAACGAACGCUGGCGGCGUGGAUAAGACAUGCAAGUCGAGCGCUGAUUACGGGGUAGCAAUAUUCCGUAGUCGGAGCGGCGCAAGGGUGCGUAACACGUGGGUAAUCUGCCAUGAAGUUUGGAAUAACUCGCUGAAAGGCGAGCUAAUGCCGGAUGUGAAAGCUGGGAGGCAUCUCUUGGUUUUCAAAGCUGGGGACCGUAAGACCUGGCGCUUCAUGAUGAGCCCGCGGCCUAUCAGCUAGUUGGUAAGGUAACGGCUUACCAAGGCUAAGACGGGUAGCUGGUCUGAGAGGACGACCAGCCACACUGGAACUGAGACACGGUCCAGACACCUACGGGUGGCAGCAGUCGAGAAUUUUUCACAAUGGGCGCAAGCCUGAUGGAGCGACGCCGCGUGGGGGAUGAAUGGCUUCGGCCCGUAAACCCCUGUCAUUUGCGAUCAACCGUUGUUAUUUAAAAGAUGACAGCCUGAUAGUAGCGAGAGAGGAAGGGACGGCUAACUCUGUGCCAGCAGCCGCGGUAAUACAGAGGUCCCAAGCGUUGUUCGGAUUCACUGGGCGUAAAGGGUGCGUAGGUGGCGGAGUAAGUCGGAUGUGAAAUCUCCGAGCUCAACUCGGAAACUGCAUUGGAAACUACUCUGCUCGAGGGUUGGAGGGGGGACUGGAAUACUUGGUGUAGCAGUGAAAUGCGUAGAUAUCAAGUGGAACACCAGUGGCGAAGGCGAGUCCCUGGACAACUCCUGACACUGAGGCACGAAAGCUAGGGGAGCAAACAGGAUUAGAUACCCUGGUAGUCCUAGCCGUAAANCGGUGCAUGUUUGCUGUAAAAGGAAUCGACCCCUUUUGUGGCGUAGCCAACGCGUUAAACAUGCCGCCUGGGAAGUACGGUCGCAAGAUUAAAACUCAAAGGAAUUGACGG